UUUUGUACAUGUUCUACAUAUUUCAGAUUAGAUUUCUGUUCUGAGAAUUUUAGAAAUCCGAAAAUCAAUAAUCUAAAAUAUUUAGAACAUGCAUUCUACGUUUUUCUCUAUGUUCUAAAUGUUUUAGAAUAGACGUUCUAAUAAUUUCUACAUCUUCUGCCAUCGUUAGAAAUUGUAGUCUACGUUUAGAAUGUAAAUUCUACGGUAUUGCAGAUUUUGAUUUCUGUAAUUUUUAGAAUGCUCUAAAUAUAGAAAGUAAAUAUUCAGAAAAGGAAACAAAAUAUUUUUUUUAGAUUACGAUUUAAAUGAUUAUUUAUUGUUUAGAUUACGAUCUACAAGAUGUAGAAGUUGUUGUCUACGGUUUUUAGACUAAGAUUAAAACCUAAAACGUUUUUUAAACCCUAAAAAGCUACACGUCUUAAUCAUACACGUCUUAGUCCACCACUUUCGUUUCUAAAAAGCUAAGAACACGUUUUCCUUCAAAUUUUCCCUUUUGGUGUUCCCGAAGAAGAAUGGCGUGUCCCAGAGGAGGUUGCAGCUGCAAUUGUGUUACCACUUGAAACAAGAAGACAACCUGGUCGACGAAGAAAACGAAGAUAUGAAACGGCUGAAGACAAGAUAAAAGUGUCACAACAAUCACAAUUGUCAAAGAGACAUAGGUGUAGUCGUUGUGGAAAAGAAGGCCAUAAUCGAACAACAUGUGACAUAGCUAUAUGAUUAAGGAUUAGAAAGCAGCUUCAAAUUAUGAGCAGCUUCAUGUUUUUCCGAUUCACUACCAUGGGAGGUUGUGGGGUUCAGUUCUGAGUUUUUGAUUUUAUUCUAAUAAUUUUCGUUUUGCUGUUUUGAGUAUUACAUUCACUUAUACUUAUAUUUUUGUUUUUGUGUUUUGAUUUAUGGAUUCAGUAUUAGUUAAGUUCGUGGUUUAGUUUUGAACUAUGGAUUCACUUCUACUUAUUAUCAUUUUUUGUUC